rnacentral:rRNA from 1 species
UACGUAGGGCGCAAGCGUUGUCCGGAAUCACUGGGCGUAAAGCGCACGUAGGCGGAUAUGUCAGUCAGGGGUGAAAUCCCGGGGCUCAACCUCGGAACUGCCUUUGAUACAGCAUAUCUUGAGUCCGAUAGAGGUGGGUGGAAUUCCUAGUGUAGAGGUGAAAUUCGUAGAUAUUAGGAAGAACACCGGUGGCGAAGGCGGCCCACUGGAUCGGUACUGACGCUGAGGUGCGAAAGCGUGGGGAGCAAACAGG